rnacentral:rRNA from 1 species
GACGAACGCUGGCGGCGUGCUUAACACAUGCAAGUCGAACGGAAGGGCCCUGCUUUUGUGGGGUGCUCGAGUGGCGAACGGGUGAGUAACACGUGAGUAAUCUGCCCUUGACUUUGGGAUAACCUUAGGAAACUGGGGCUAAUACCGGAUAGGAGCUCCUGCUGCAUGGUGGGGGGUGGAAAGUUUCGGCGGUUGGGGAUGGACUCGCGGCUUAUCAGCUUGUUGGUGGGGUAGUGGCUUACCAAGGCUUUGACGGGUAGCCGGCCUGAGAGGGUGACCGGCCACAUUGGGACUGAGAUACGGCCCAGACUCCUACGGGAGGCAGCAGUGGGGAAUAUUGCACAAUGGGCGGAAGCCUGAUGCAGCAACGCCGCGUGCGGGAUGACGGCCUUCGGGUUGUAAACCGCUUUCGCCUGUGACGAAGCGUGAGUGACGGUAAUGGGUAAAGAAGCACCGGCUAACUACGUG